rnacentral:rRNA from 1 species
GAUGAACGUUUGCGGCGUGCCUAAUACAUGCAAGUCGAGCGAACGGACGAGAAGCUUGCUUCUCUGAUGUUAGCGGCGGACGGGUGAGUAACACGUGGAUAACCUACCUAUAAGACUGGGAUAACUUCGGGAAACCGGAGCUAAUACCGGAUAAUAUUUUGAACCGCAUGGUUCAAAAGUGAAAGACGGUCUUACUGUCACUUAUAGAUGGAUCCGCGCUGCAUUAGCUAGUUGGUAAGGUAACGGCUUACCAAGGCAACGAUGCAUAGCCGACCUGAGAGGGUGAUCGGCCACACUGGAACUGAGACACGGUCCAGACUCCUACGGGAGGCAGCAGUAGGGAAUCUUCCGCAAUGGGCGAAAGCCUGACGGAGCAACGCCGCGUGAGUGAUGAAGGUCUUCGGAUCGUAAAACUCUGUUAUUAGGGAAGAACAUAUGUGUAAGUAACUGUGCACAUCUUGACGGUACCUAAUCAGAAAGCCACGGCUAACUACGUGCCAGCAGCCGCGGUAAUACGUAGGUGGCAAGCGUUAUCCGGAAUUAUUGGGCGUAAAGCGCGCGUAGGCGGUUUUUUAAGUCUGAUGUGAAAGCCCACGGCUCAACCGUGGAGGGUCAUUGGAAACUGGAAAACUUGAGUGCAGAAGAGGAAAGUGGAAUUCCAUGUGUAGCGGUGAAAUGCGCAGAGAUAUGGAGGAACACCAGUGGCGAAGGCGACUUUCUGGUCUGUAACUGACGCUGAUGUGCGAAAGCGUGGGGAUCAAACAGGAUUAGAUACCCUGGUAGUCCACGCCGUAAACGAUGAGUGCUAGGUGUUAGGGGGUUUCCGCCCCUUAGUGCUGCAGCUAACGCAUUAAGCACUCCGCCUGGGGAGUACGACCGCAAGGUUGAAACUCAAAGGAAUUGACGGGGACCCGCACAAGCGGUGGAGCAUGUGGUUUAAUUCGAAGCAACGCGAAGAACCUUACCAAAUCUUGACAUCCUUUGACAACUCUAGAGAUAGAGCUUUCCCCUUCGGGGGACAAAGUGACAGGUGGUGCAUGGUUGUCGUCAGCUCGUGCCGUGAGAUGUUGGGUUAAGUCCCGCAACGAGCGCAACCCUUAAGCUUAGUUGCCAUCAUUAAGUUGGGCACUCUAAGUUGACUGCCGGUGACAAACCGGAGGAAGGUGGGGAUGACGUCGAAUCAUCAUGCCCCUUAUGAUUUGGGCUACACACGUGCUACAAUGGACAAUACAAAGGGCAGCGAAACCGCGAGGUCAAGCAAAUCCCAUAAAGUUGUUCUCAGUUCGGAUUGUAGUCUGCAACUCGACUACAUGAAGCUGGAAUCGCUAGUAAUCGUAGAUCAGCAUGCUACGGUGAAUACGUUCCCGGGUCU